UACGUGAGGGGCAAGCGUUGUCCGGAUUUAUUGGGCGUAAAGAGCGUGUAGGCGGUUUGGUAGGUCCGCUGUGAAAACGUCGAGGCUCAACCUCGAGACGCCGGUGGAAACCAUCAGGCUAGAGUCCGGAAGAGGAGAGUGGAAUUCCUGGUGUAGCGGUGAAAUGCGCAGAUAUCAGGAAGAACACCCGUGGCUAAGGCGGCUCUCUAGUACGGUACUGACGCUGAGACGCGAAAGCGUGGGGAGCGAACAGG
rnacentral:rRNA from 1 species